rnacentral:rRNA from 1 species
AUACGUAGGUGACAAGCGUUAUCCGGAAUUACUGGGUGUAAAGGGUGCGUAGGCGGGACUGCAAGUCAGAUGUGAAAUGCCGGGGCUCAACCCCGGAGCUGCAUUUGAAACUGUGGUUCUUGAGUGAGGUAGAGGUAAGCGGAAUUCCUAGUGUAGCGGUGAAAUGCGUAGAUAUUAGGAGGAACAUCGGUGGCGAAGGCGGCUUACUGGGCCUUUACUGACGCUGAGGCACGAAAGCGUGGGGAGCAAACAGGAUUAGAUACCCUGGUAGUCCACGCUGUAAACGAUGAUGACUAGGUGUGGGGGGACUGAACCCUUCCGUGCCGCAGUUAACACAAUAAGUCAUCCACCUGGGGAGUACGGCCGCAAGGUUGAAACUCAAAUGAAUUGACGGGG